rnacentral:rRNA from 2 species
AGCAGUCGCGGUAAUUCCAGCUCCAAUAGCGUAUAUUAAAGUUGUUGCAGUUAAAAAGCUCGUAGUUGAAUUUCGGGAUUAGUACGUUGGUCGUGCCUUAGGUACGUACUGGUGUUACUGGUUCCUACCUUCUGACGAACCAUCAUGUCAUUAAUUUGGUGUGGCGGGGAAUCAGGACUGUUACUUUGAAAAAAUUAGAGUGUUUAAAGCAGGCUCGCGCUUGAAUACAUUAGCAUGGAAUAAUGAAAUAGGACGUUGAUCCUAUUUUGUUGGUUUCUAGGAUUGACGUAAUGAUUAAUAGGGAUAGUUGGGGGCAUUAGUAUUCAAUUGUCAGAGGUGAAAUUCUUGGAUUUAUUGAAGACUAACUACUGCGAAAGCAUUUGCCAAGGAUGUUUUCAUUAAUCAAGAACGAAAGUUAGGGGAUCGAAGACGAUCAGAUACCGUCGUAGUCUUAACCAUAAACUAUGCCGACUAGGGAUCGGAUGAUGUUAAUUUUUUAAUGACUCA